rnacentral:rRNA from 1 species
GACGAACGCUGGCGGCGUGCUUAACACAUGCAAGUCGAACGGAAAGGCCCCUUUGGGGGUACUCGAGUGGCGAACGGGUGAGUAACACGUGAGUAACCUGCCCUUGACUUCGGGAUAACUUCAGGAAACUGGGGCUAAUACCGGAUAGGAAUCCUUGCUGCAUGGUGGGGGUUGGAAAGCUUCGGCGGUUUUGGAUGGACUCGCGGCUUAUCAGCUUGUUGGUGGGGUAGUGGCUUACCAAGGCUUUGACGGGUAGCCGGCCUGAGAGGGCGACCGGCCACAUUGGGACUGAGAUACGGCCCAGACUCCUACGGGAGGCAGCAGUGGGGAAGAUUGCACAAUGGGCGGAAGCCUGAUGCAGCAACGCCGCGGGCGGGAUGACGGCCUUCGGGUUGUAAACCGCUUUCAGCAGGGGCGAAGCUUGUGGUGACGGUACCUGCAGAAGAAGCACCGGCUAACUACGUG